AUGAGCGAAGCCUAAGGGAACGGAAUCAUAUGGAAAAAACCGUGGCCAAAAGUACUGCACUCAUUCUAAGGGAACGGAUUUGCAUCAGGAAAACCGUUGCCUAAACCUAAGCUUCAUCUUCUCCAAAUUCGCACGGUUAUGAACAGUAACUCACCAAGAACUCCAAGAAAAAAUUUCUCAGAACUUAAAAUUGAACAUAUGAAUUGGUAGAUCUUUCAACAUACAUACUAAAUCCACUAAUAACUAAGCAUC
rnacentral:lncRNA from 1 species